GGAAGAGCAGGAACCAGC
rnacentral:misc_RNA from 1 species